UGCUUUUAAAAUGAAAGGUUUGAAAACAACUGCGGAAUAGUGGAGGAAGGAAUGCCAGUCUUUGAAGACACACAGACCAGCGCACCGUGGUGUGUGGUACCAUGGAGACCACUGCCCGGACUCUGGCUGCUGGAGGAGUUUGAAGGUCAUGGGACAUAGAGAAGUGAAAAGCCACUCAUCUGCCUUUUUGGAAGGCAGCCACCACUUUACCUCUGGAAUUGUUCAAGACCGAAGAAGCUGUUUCACCUAUUUUGUUUGCUUACUUGUUUUUGCUUGCUUCUUUUCAUGUGUGGGUUUUUUCACAUCUGUUAAAAUCACUCAAAGUUUUGUUUUUUCUAAAGGGAGCUUAUCCCUUUCUGUUUCUUUAAACAACAGUGUCUGUAAUCACUAUUUUCCUCCUUCCUAGGAGUAGUUGAUAUUACGGAUUAUAAAAUGGUAAUAAAUAGCAUUUU